GGAUGUGAGGGCGAUCUGGCUGCGACAUCUGUCACCCCAUUGAUCGCCAGGGUUGAUUCGGCUGAUCUGGCUGGCUAGGCGGGUGUCCCCCUCCUCCCUCACCGAUCCAUGUGCGUCCCUCCCGAAGCUGCGCGCUCGGUCGAAGAGGACGACCUUCCCCCCCGAGGAGAGGACCGGUCUUCGGUCAAGGGUAUACGAGUAGCUGCGCUCCCCUGCUAGAACCUCCAAACAAGCUCUCAAGAAGUGUAAGUGAGCACCAUUGCCUAGUUGAGUAGUGAUAACAGUGCAUUCGCACAUCUGC
ensembl:misc_RNA 7SK 7SK RNA